rnacentral:rRNA from 1 species
UACGUAGGGGGCAAGCGUUGUCCGGAUUUAUUGGGCGUAAAGAGCUCGUAGGCGGUUUGUCGCGUCUGCUGUGAAAUCCCGAGGCUCAACCUCGGGCCUGCAGUGGGUACGGGCAGACUGGAGUGCGGUAGGGGAGAAUGGAAUUCCUGGUGUAGCGGUGGAAUGCGCAGAUAUCAGGAGGAACACCGAUGGCGAAGGCAGCUCGCUGGGACGGUACUGACGCUGAGGCGCGAAAGCGUGGGGAGCGAACAGG